rnacentral:lncRNA from 1 species
GGCAAUGGGGGCAGAGAGGCAGGCAAGUCUGGGCUCCGCCAGGGAGCUCCAGGCCUGGCGCGCGGCUGUGGGUGCCACGCGGGGACUGGGGUGCAGUGGAGACUGUCCGCGCGCGGCUCCAACUCGAGAGCGAGGGUCGCUCGGGAAAAUCUCAGAUGAUGGUGCUGGAUCGUCGCUAUUUAAAGUGGUGGAUAUGCCCAAGGUCUCAUGGCCUAAGAAAAACUGCUCUCCCUUCCAAGGACCCAGCAGUCUUUAGACCAGCUCAAGUCUCCGUCCUGAGUCUGGAAACACUCAUCAGCAAACACCAGCCCCUCACGACAGAGUUGCAGCUUACUCUCUGGAUCCAUGAUGCUCAGGACUUUCUUUAGCACCAGUGAAUGGCUGGCAUUCAGGCCUGAGUUCCAGCAAGUACCCAGGGCGAUGGCUGCACCACUGUAACAGAUGGAUUUGAUGGGAAAAUGCCUACUUCCCCAAGGACCCUUAGUGGCUCUUGCUGCCCUGACUGCGCCCUGGGAGUUGUCUUCAGGGUCCCUCAGAAACCCUCACAAUCUACAACUACAAGAGGAACUCUUGCUUCAGCAAGGCAUAUCUGAGGUGCUUCUCUGGAAUUUCUGCCAGUGGCCAUCCUGAGUGGCCCGGGGAGUGGUUGGACAGCUGGGUGGAUUUUGGAGUCCCAGUCCUGGAGAGCAAGUCUCGAUUCUUGCACUCCACACGUCACCGGAAAGCGUCCAGGCUCAGCGCACUUCUCCGUUCCUCGCUGCUUCUUACCUUACUUCCGCUCACGAGCUCCCUUCUGUUUUGAAUUCCUUGGAGCCUGUUUCCCUUCAUCGGACAUACAACUGUAUGCAAUGUCAGUUUUGAUACAACUUUCCCAGCCUGUGAUGUAUAUUUCUCUAGUUUUCUUUGAAACCCCCAGCGUGAAACAUAUCUAACACAACGUUUUGUACUCUUCGUGACACAUAGCUGUCGGGGAUUCAAAUCACAAGAUAGAAUGUAACACGCCCCGGGGAGUGGGUGGACCCCAUAUACCCUUGAAACAGAAGGAUGUUGCUGAGAUGGUCCAGCGCCUUACCCUGUCACUCAGAUGCUCAGUCAGGAAAUAAAAGCUCUGGUUGAACUGGC